rnacentral:rRNA from 1 species
UACGUAGGGUGCAAGCGUUGUCCGGAAUUAUUGGGCGUAAAGAGCUCGUAGGCGGUCUGUCGCGUCGGCUGUGAAAUCCCGAGGCUCAACCUCGGGUCUGCAGUCGAUACGGGCAAACUAGAGUAUUGCAGGGGAGACUGGAAUUCCUGGUGUAGCGGUGAAAUGCGCAGAUAUCAGGAGGAACACCAAUGGCGAAGGCGGCUUGCUGGGUCUAGACUGACACUCAGACGCGAAAGCAUGGGGAGCGAACGGG